AGACCUUUCUGGAUCUAAAGUUGUUUGCAUUGUGCCCCAGAUAAAUCAAGGGAAAAUUCUACAGAUUUUCAGAACCCUUUAUAUUUGAAUGGUGCUUAUUGCAAAUUAAUUUUGCAAGGUUUUUUUAAAAAGUGUUAAAACAAUUUUUAUGGACAUCAUGGUAGAGGUGAGAAACGACUCAUAAUGUUUCAGUGACAUGCCAAAGUCUGUGCCUGGUUUGUGACAGAACAAAAGCUCGGCAGCUUUAGGGAAUUUGGACUCGUGCCUGAAACUCCACUCCAGUCAAGUUCAACCAAAAAGACAUGACUGCAUGUGUUGCUUGAAAUAUCUGUUCUCCUUAGAAGAGUAGUCUGCCAGCUGUGCCUUGAGGAACCUGAGGGCUUCUGUGGAGAGCCUGAGGUGAAGUAAAAUGGCGUGAUAUCUUCUUGUGUGAUUCAGAGAGUUUCUCAAUUGACACCUGGGCCAGUCUAAUCUUAGGCAUGGGCCUUAUUCCAGAAAACAGCUUUCCCUCCAUUGCACCCAGGGAAGCCAGAAAAAUCACCUUAUGAGAAAAAUGUAUCAAUACAGUAAUGAAUGAAGAUGUUCCUGAGCUAUAUUUAAAAUGCCAUGGUAAGUACAAAUUGUAAUUCUCAGAGGUUACUAUAAUUUUGGGUGGAUAAUCAAAAAAUUGUUUUAAACUUCAUCAGUUCUUAUGCUUUGUCAUUUGAGAACCUGGGCUGAGC
ensembl:lncRNA